rnacentral:rRNA from 1 species
AUUGAACGCUGGCGGCAUGCCUUACACAUGCAAGUCGAACGGUAACAGGUCUUCGGAUGCUGACGAGUGGCGAACGGGUGAGUAAUACAUCGGAACGUGCCUAGUAGUGGGGGAUAACUACUCGAAAGAGAGGCUAAUACCGCAUGAGAUCUACGGAUGAAAGCAGGGGAUCGCAAGACCUUGUGCUACUAGAGCGGCCGAUGGCAGAUUAGGUAGUUGGUGGGAUAAAAGCUUACCAAGCCGAUGAUCUGUAGCUGGUCUGAGAGGACGAUCAGCCACACUGGGACUGAGAAACGGCCCAGACUCCUACGGGAGGCAGCAGUGGGGAAUUUUGGACAAUGGGCGCAAGCCUGAUCCAGCAAUGCCGCGUGCAGGAUGAAGGCCUUCGGGUUGUAAACUGCUUUUGUACGGAACGAAAAGCCCCGGGUUAAUACCCUGGGGUCAUGACGGUACCGUAAGAAUAAGCACCGGCUAACUACGUGCCAGCCGCCGCCGUAA